rnacentral:lncRNA from 1 species
AACAUCAUGGGCAACAAGUAGAGCUUCUACUACUGGAUUAGCAAUAGUCCAAAUAAGGAACAUGUGAGCCAUUUGCUGAGUGGGGUGAGUGAUGCAGCAACAGCAGGCAACGAGACUGAAGAACUUGAUGCUUUCUUUGCUUCUGUCAGCAGGGUCUCUUGAGCCUCUCUGCCUAGGGAAGGUGUUCAAGGAGAAAAACAACCAGCAGUGUAGCGAGGCUAUAAGAGAGGUUACAGCACCCGGACCAGCACCUCCAUCACAGGCUGCAGCACAUCCCUCGGUUGUGGUGCAAGGACCUGGCUUCAUCGUCGCAUGGGUUAAUGUGCAAUGUGCAACUGAAGAAAAGAGGUUUGAUGGGAGAUGAGGCCCACCAGACCUUGAUCCCGCAUGGCAGUACUGAAAUAUCAUUGCACAAAGGCAUUGCAAGCAGUGAAGGGCUGCAGCCAGCAGUGUGUUGAGACCCCGUGUUUCUGAAGGCACCCUGCAGGCUGGAGGGCAGGAUGUGUGCUGGGAUGGAGCUGUGCUAUGCUACCCUUCUGCUGAAGAAGAAAAUAUAAUUGCCUGAUGAAGAGUCAAAGCACUCGAAUUCAUCCUCGUCUCUUUCAGUGUCAGGUAUGAAGCU